GUCUACGGCCGUGCCACCCUGAACAAGCCCAAUGUUUGAUCUCAGAAGCCAAGCAGGGUCGGGCCUGGUUAGUACUUGGAUGGGAGACCACCUAGGAAAACCAGGUGCUGUAGGUA
rnacentral:rRNA from 1 species